rnacentral:snRNA from 1 species
GGUUGUAAGGGCAAUACGACCUUCGCCCCACUGAUCACCAGGGCUGACAUGGCUGACCUGGCUGGCCUGGCAGGCGUCCCCUUCUGCCCUCACCACUCCAUGCAUGUCCUCCCAGAAGCUGAACGCUCAGUUGACGAGGACUAAUGGUUUUCCUGAGUAGACAGACCGUUCUUCAGUCAAGUAUGAAUGAGCAGCUGCGCUCCCAUGCAGGAACCUCCAGCAAGCUCCCAUAAAACAGCAGACAAAGGACUAAUACCCAAGACUUAUAAAACACAAAGAUCAGCUGUUGGAGAGCAUCAGGUUGUCCUU